rnacentral:rRNA from 1 species
GUGCCAGCAGCCGCGGUAAUACGUAGGGAGCAAGCGUUAUCCGGAUUUAUUGGGUGUAAAGGGUGCGUAGACGGGAAAAUAAGUUAGCUGUGAAAUCCCUCGGCUUAACUGAGGAACUGCAACUAAAACUGUUUUUCUUGAGUACUGGAGAGGAAAGUGGAAUUCCUAGUGUAGCGGUGAAAUGCGUAGAUAUUAGGAGGAACACCAGUGGCGAAGGCGACUUUCUGGACAGAAACUGACGUUGAGGCACGAAAGUGUGGGGAGCAAACAGGAUUUGAUACCCUGGUAGUCCACACUGUAAACGAUGGAUACUAGGUGUAGGCUGUGAUAAACGGUCUGUGCCGUCGCAAACGCAGUAAGUAUCCCACCUGGGGAGUACGGCCGCAAGGUUGAAACUCAAAGGAAUUGACGGGGGCCCGCACAAGCAGUGGAGUAUGUGGUUUAAUUCGAAGCAACGCGAAGAACCUUACCAGGGCUUGACAUAUAUAUGACGAUUCUAGAGAUAGAAUUUCUUUUCGGAGCAUAUAUACAGGUGGUGCAUGGUUGUCGUCAGCUCGUGUCGUGAGAUGUUAGGUUAAGUCCUGCAACGAGCGCAACCCUUAUACUUAGUUGCCAGCAUGUAAAGAUGGGAACUCUAGGUAGACUGCCGGUGAUAAAUCGGAGGAAGGUGGGGACGACGUCAAAUCAUCAUGCCCUUUAUGUCCUGGGCUACACACGUACUACAAUGGAUGUUACAGAGGGAAGCGAAACAGUGAUGUGGAGCAAAACCCAAAAAAGCAUUCUCAGUUCGGAUUGAAGUCUGAAAUUCGACUUCGUGAAGCCGGAAUUGCUAGUAAUGGCAGGUCAGCAUACUGCCGUGAAUACGUUCCCGGGCCUUGUACACACCGCCCGU